rnacentral:rRNA from 1 species
UACGGAGGGGGCAAGCGUUGUUCGGAAUUACUGGGCGUAAAGAGCACGUAGGCGGUUUAUCAAGUUAGGCGUGAAAGCCCUGGGCUCAACCCAGGAAUUGCGUUUAAGACUGAUAGACUAGAGAUCGGGAGAGGGUAGCGGAAUUCCAAGUGUAGAGGUGAAAUUCGUAGAUAUUUGGAAGAACACCGGUGGCGAAGGCGGCUACCUGGACCGACACUGACGCUGAGGUGCGAAAGCGUGGGGAGCGAAC